rnacentral:rRNA from 1 species
GGGGGCCCGCAAGCGGUGGAGCAUGUGGUUUAAUUCGAUGCAACGCGAAGAACCUUACCUACUCUUGACAUCCAGAGAACUUUCCAGAGAUGGAUUGGUGCCUUCGGGAACUCUGAGACAGGUGCUGCAUGGCUGUCGUCAGCUCGUGUUGUGAAAUGUUGGGUUAAGUCCCGCAACGAGCGCAACCCUUAUCCUUUGUUGCCAGCGGUCCGGCCGGGAACUCAAAGGAGACUGCCAGUGAUAAACUGGAGGAAGGUGGGGAUGACGUCAAGUCAUCAUGGCCCUUACGAGUAGGGCUACACACGUGCUACAAUGGCGCAUACAAAGAGAAGCGAACUCGCGAGAGCAAGCGGACCUCAUAAAGUGCGUCGUAGUCCGGAUUGGAGUCUGCAACUCGACUCCAUGAAGUCGGAAUCGCUAGUAAUCGUAGAUCAGAAUGCUACGGUGAAUACGUUCCCGGGCCUUGUACACACC